rnacentral:rRNA from 1 species
GGGGAUCGUAAGACCUUGUGCUUUUGGAGCGGCCGAUGCCUGAUUAGCUAGUUGGUGGGGUAAAGGCCUACCAAGGCAACGAUCAGUAGUUGGUCUGAGAGGACGACCAGCCACACUGGGACUGAGACACGGCCCAGACUCCUACGGGAGGCAGCAGUGGGGAAUUUUGGACAAUGGGCGAAAGCCUGAUCCAGCAAUGCCGCGUGAGUGAAGAAGGCCUUCGGGUUGUAAAGCUCUUUCAGUCGAGAAGAAAAGGUUGUGACUAAUAAUCACAAUUUAUGACGGUAUCGACAGAAGAAGCACCGGCUAACUACGUGCCAGCAGCCGCGGUAAUACGUAGGGUGCAAGCGUUAAUCGGAAUUACUGGGCGUAAAGGGUGCGCAGGCGGCUCUGUAAGUCAGAUG